rnacentral:SRP_RNA from 1 species
GCCGGGCGUGGUGGCGGGCGCCUGUAGUCCCAGCUACUCGGAGGCUGAGGCGGGAGAAUGGCGUGAACCCGGGAGGUGGAGCUUGCAGUGAGCCAAGAUCGCGCCACUGCACUCCAGCCUGGGCUACAGAGCAAGACUCCGUCUCAA